GUGUACAAUACAAUCGAGUUGAUCACAAGUCACAAAAUAUUGAAAGACCAUGGACAUAUUUUGGAAGUUGCUAAUCUUCAUUUUCGCCGUUGUUGUUGUGAAUGCCAGAGUGAGAACCAAGCCGGAGGCUCGAAAAAUAUGCAGACCCGGAAGUAUGUUUGAAGAUGAUACAGGAGCAUUAUGCCUUUGUAGUCCAUUUGGAGAGAUGCAUACCUGCGCAAAGGGAGACAGGUUGGGAAUUAUUUAAUGACACUGAUUCAACAUUUUUUUAUAUUCUUCAAUGAGAACGUGAACGCUUUUAAAUAUGAACUUGUCAUGCCAUUUCAUAUGCAGAAUAAAGACUUAUUGAGUAAUUGAAUGAAUAAUUUUCUAAAACAUUAAAUUCGAGUUAUUGCAAUUACAAUUGUCCGUCGAUUAUAUUAUGAAUGGGAUACAUAAAGUAAGAUUCAGGAGAUAAAGUUCCGCAAAAUGAAGUGGUAAAUGAAUACUGAGAAAUAAUGGAGCAGGAUAUGAAAAAAUAUGCAUUCACCUCAAUGUUUUAUCUAUCUGUGGCUUAUCAACUGCGAUAAAUAAGGAAUUUUAUUGGGAAACUAUACGAUGUAUCUUUGACAGAACAAUAAAAACGUUGACACACUAAUUGUUCGUUUGACUAUAUAUAUAUGUUACGGUUGUUGUACUCUUAACCGUUGUCUUUGUCGAACCUCAGUAAAUCGAUGAUAGAAUGUCAAUGUUGCUGAAAUUGACUUUUUUGGCGGUCUUGGUGGUCGCCGUAACUGCUGAAUUCCAGACACCGACGGGUGGUUGCCCACCCGGAGAUGCCAAAAUUGUUGGCAAUCAAAUUUGUCACUGUGCCAGUGACGGGAUACAUCAAAUGUGUGUAGAUCAAUCUUCACGGGAAGCAACAGACGAUGCUGAUAAAAAACAAUGAAAAUAAUUAUUCAUUAACAACAUUUCGAAAUGAUGUACUUCUUCGAAGCAAUCGAAAUUUAUGAGUAGGGCAAUGUAAGAAUUCUCAAGAGUAAAUAAAUUGGUCAAUUUUAAUAAUCAAA